GACGAACGCUGGCGGCGUGCUUAACACAUGCAAGUCGAACGGAAAGGCCUGCUUUCCCUUGUGGAUUGCGGGUACUCGAGUGGCGAACGGGUGAGUAACACGUGAGUGAUCUGCCCCCAACUUGGGUAUAAGCCUGGGAAACUGGGUCUAAUUCCCGAUAGGACUGCAGGGUGGUGCCUGUGGUGGAAAACGAUUUUCUAGUGGUUGGGGAUGAGCUCGCGGCCUAUCAGCUUGUUGGUGGGGUAAUGGCCUACCAAGGCGGCGACGGGUAGCCGGCCUGGGAGGGUGGACGGCCACAGUGGGACUGAGAUACGGCCCAGACUCCUACGGGAGGCAGCAGUGGGGAAUAGUGCACAAUGGGCGGAAGCCUGAUGCAGCGACGCCGCGUGGGGGAUGUCGGCCUUCGGGUUGUAAACUCCUUUCGACCGCGAGGAAGCCACCUGGUUGGAAGGGUGGUGACGGUAGUGGUAGAAGAAGCACCGGCUAACUACGUG
rnacentral:rRNA from 1 species